AGAGUCUAACCUGAAAGUAAUUUAUUGGGAUAUCUCAAGGAAUUAGCUAAAAUUGUGUUUCAAUACGAGGAUUUCGAAGUUAGUUCGGAUUUAUAUUUCCUUCAUCACAUGGUUAGAUGUAGGUUAAACAGCACAUAAUAAUUCAGAUUUACUACUAAUAGAAGCCAAAAAGAAUGCAUUUUCAGGGCUGCUGCCAUAUUUACCAAACUGCCACAUUCUAAGAUCUAUAACUAACAAUGUAGCUGAAGUCAAGGGUAUUUCAUGAAGUCACCUUUCGCUCCAUUUUUAAUAUUGGACUUAAUCUGAUUAUCAUGUGUAUAAAUUACUGAAAUCAUUCGUGUGGUCAAAACAAGAGGCAAAUUAUAAAAUAAAACAAAAAUUGAGGAAUCAUUAGUCAGAAGGCAGAAGGAGACUCUGCAUGAUUCUAAGUAUCACUGGGGUCUGACAAGUACAUGGAAAUCACAGCAACAGCACCUAUUAUUAUAUGAGGAACAUGCUCCAGCAGGAAGAACUUAGUUUAUGUCUUUAGAAGAUUAUAUGUAGUUUGUGUCUUCAGGUGAAAGUAACUAAAGGUGAUUUAAUUUCUUUCUAAUUAGUUGUUAUUGCUGUAUUUUGACAGCCAUCAAAAGGCAUAACAGCGAACAAGUCAGCAUCACAUUCAGGGUCAGAAACAAAAUUUACAUAUUAUUUUCUUCAACGGUGAUUUUUUUUUAAGGAAGAAGAAAAACUUUCUUUACUAUUUGUCCUAUUUUCAGCAAGCAGGAAGACAAGAGACUAAAUAAGUGAGAGGAAAG